GGCUUGGACACUAUCUCAGGGCUUUGUGCCCUCAGAGCCUAGUGGAGCAGCGAAGCGACUGGGCACAUGAAGGCAAAGGUCAGAAGACCCCAUUCCAGAGAGCCCUGCCCCAUGUCCACUCUCGGAAGCAAGAAAUGCACGCUCAGAGGGACCAAGAAGAAAUCCAGACAGACAGGCCUUGCUGGAUGUCCCCACUCGGUCUAUUCGCAUUAGAUCAUUGCCUUUGUCCAAUCAUAUUGCCACACAGCUGUCCAUAUGUCCUUGAAACUCAGCAUAAAAAUGGACAAUUUUCCCCGUAUCUCUGGGUCCUCAUUCCGAAGGCUCCCGUGUACGCACUAAUAAAGGUUUACCCCUUUUCUCCUA